rnacentral:rRNA from 1 species
AGUAACACGUGGGUGAUCUGCCCUGUACUUCGGGAUAAGCCUGGGAAACUGGGUCUAAUACCGGAUAUGACCAUGGGAUUCAUGUCUUGUGGUGGAAAGAUUUAUCGGUACAGGAUGAGCCCGCGGCCUAUCAGCUUGUUGGUGGGGUAAUGGCCUACCAAGGCGACGACGGGUAGCCGGCCUGAGAGGGCGAUCGGCCACACUGGGACUGAGACACGGCCCAG